rnacentral:rRNA from 1 species
UACAGAGGUCUCAAGCGUUGUUCGGAUUCACUGGGCGUAAAGGGUGCGUAGGUGGCGAAGUAAGUCGGAUGUGAAAUCUCCGAGCUCAACUCGGAAAUGGCAUUGGAAACUACUUUGCUCGAGGGUCGGAGGGGGGACUGGAAUUCUCGGUGUAGCAGUGAAAUGCGUAGAUAUCGAGAGGAACACCAGUGGCGAAGGCGAGUCCCUGGACGACUCCUGACACUGAGGCACGAAAGCUAGGGGAGCAAACAGG